GGUCGACUGGUGUAGUGGUUAUCACGUCUGUCUUACAAUCACACUGUAUAGCGUAUUGUGAGGACACAGAAGGUCGCAGGUUCGAUCCCUGCGUCGAUCA
rnacentral:tRNA from 1 species